AUUGAACGCUGGCGGCAGGCCUAACACAUGCAAGUCGAACGAGUGGCGGAGGUGUGAGUAAUGUCUGGGAAAAUGCCUGAUGGCGGGGGAUAACUACUGGAAACGGUAGCUAAUACCGCAUACCAUAAUGUGUGCCCAGAUGGGGGUAGCUAGUUGGUGGGGUAACGGCUAACCAAGGCGACGCUCCCUAGCUGGUCUGAGAGGAUGACCAGCCACACUGGAACUGAGACACGGUCCAGACUCCUACGGGAGGCAGCAGUGGGGAAUAUUGCACAAUGGGCGCAAGCCUGAUGCAGCCAUGCCGCGUGUAUGAAGAAGGCCUUCGGGUUGUAAAGUACUUUCAUCGGGGAGGCGUUACCCGCAGAAGAAGCACCGGCUAACUCCGUGCCAGCCGCCGCGGUAAUUC
rnacentral:rRNA from 1 species